ACGAACUGGUUCUGUUUCCUCCGGUCGAAGGUUUCGUCCUACAUAUUUUUAUCUGACCAUUUUACCCUUCCACCAAAUCACAUACUCCUAUUUUAAGGAAACUAUAGUCAUUUUUUUAGGUUACGAAGUUUCUAUUUCUGCCCCUCCCUCCAUGCACGACCGACCGACUCCGCGCCCUCCGUCCACUCUUCUCCCUCGCGGCUGUGCCCUCUCUCGCGACGACGGCGCCGUCUCCCUUGCGCGCCACAUGACGGCACCCUCUUCCUCGCUUGCAUCGUCUACGCUGAUCAACAAAUAUGUUCGUCUGCACAUGGAGGUUGAGGUCCAAAAUGGGAUCUUUUACUCCUCCGGCAGCCAGAUCUGUUGUGUCAGGGCUCGAUCUAUCAGGGACGAACUCCAAUCAUGGUUAUGGCCGGCAGGGACUACCAAGACGGCUGCCAGCGGGUCGCGCUCUUCUUCGGCACGCAGAUCGGCGCCACCGAGGAAUUCGCCAAGACGCUGGUGGAGGAGGCCAAGGCCAGGUACGACAAGGUCGUCUUCACGGUGGUCGAUCUGGACGAUUACGGCGCAGAAGAUGAGGAUCGAGGAGUACCAGGAAAAGCUCAAGAAGUAGAACAUGGCGCUGCUCUUCCUGGCAAUGUAUGGAUGGCAAUCGUCCAAUGGUGAAGCCAUUGAAUCAAGUGGAAGGCAAGUGCUUGAGCAGUUACUACAAGCCAUGCUUCCACAAUUUCUGAAGCAGGUCAGAUAUGGUAGCUUUUUCAGGAGAUCAUGCUGGUCGAGCAGGUCUCCGCGGCGACGAACGAGGACGACUCCAUCCUUGUAGAAGGAGAAGGAUGGAUGCAGGAGUUCGAUCUCCUGCGUCGGGGGAGACCUGACCCGACAUGCGGUGGUGGGGACCAUCCUGGUCGAGCAGGUCAACGCGGGCAAAGGUGCGGAGACCUGCUAUGCAGGCCUGGGUCAGCUGGUUUUACAAGCCCUAACGAUGGAGUGCGCGGCCUGUUACCUCUUGCCGGCUGGGUUUUGCAUCUGAAUAUCUGAAUAUAUGAAGAUGCUUGUGCCAGUGAGGAGAAAGAGCUUCAAGAAGAGCAGCGGCCAUGCAGCCUCUCCCUACUGCUGUUCAUUGUGGCGGUUCAGUUCUGGGUGAUUGAGAGGGUCUUACGUCUUCGAGCUAGCAGCAGGUUCACGGUAGAAAAUACUCAUCCAAGAACAGCAGGUGCUUUUGGAUGAAAGGCAACCCGGCUAUGAUUUGGUGAGUCAACCUGCUAUGUCAUCAUUUUGGUAUUCCAUGGUGAUCAUCCGUUGGAUUCACUCAUUAUAAGAGGCCUUCCCUCAGUCUUGUUUUUUGUUGUGCUGGCCACAGAGUGCACUUUGCAGAAUGAGGCAUGCAUGACAUAUCAUACUUCACAUAAUGAGGAAUUGUUUGAAUACAUUUUGUGUUAUGAAUUAUCUUUUGAAGCCAGAAUAAGGUUUCUUCAUUUUGUUAAAUUAUCUUCUGAAGCCUAAUUUAAAAGCAUAAACACAUUGGGAAAGGGUAUUAAUACACCACCCCACUUGAUUUCUUAUUCUGGCUGGUUCAUGAAGAAACUAUCUUUCUAAGUGCUAGAUCCGCCAAGCUGCAACAUGUCACACUAAACAUGCCGUAGAAAGAGUAUUAAUUGGUCAAAAAAGUCCCUAGCUGGAUGGAACUUACCGUUAUCUGACCUUCCUUUUUUAUCCUCUUAUCUGAUUGUGCCUCUUUAUAUUGCAGGUUGGAUCGUGGGAGGUGACUGCCAAGAAUAAUUAUGGUGGUGAGCAUAUUUGGAUCUAGCAGAUCCUGACAAAUGGCUUCAAGCGUCCUAAGAGGAACAUUGGGAUGUCGUGAGUUCGGAGAUGAGAGGGAACUGACACACCUUGUGGAGAUGCGGGAGAAUUGGGAAUGUGCAGAAGUCUAGGAUACUAGCGAAUUGUCGAGUGACCUUCUCCAGCAGACCACGACGGGUGAGGUGUGGAGGGCUGUCAACCAUCCACUCAGGGAAGCUCGCGACACGGCCAACCCACUGGAGCAAAGUGUCCUUGUUGGCAUCAAGCUGAGCACACUCCAGUUCACCGGCUUGUCCCGUGGGAACAGGAGGCUGGUGUUGUGGAGCCCUCAAUUGCGCGCGUUGUCCGCGUCCAUGGAUCCGGUGAGCAGGAAGUCAGCGCCUCUGCCUCCACCUCUGUUGGCGCCAGGCGGUCGCCUGGCUUGUAGCAUGCCGAGAUAGAGGUUGCCUGAUGUCCACACCUCCAGUGCCUCCUCGAGAUCUUUGGUGACCGGGGUCAAUGACUAGGGAUAAUAAGAUACUAGGGGCGUGUCUCCGGCGGU